AGCAGGCCCUUCGGGGUGCUGACGAGUGGCGGACGGGUGAGUAAUGCGUAGGAAUCUACCUAGUUGAGUGGGAUAGCCUAGGGAAACUUAGGGUAAUACCGCAUAAGUCUUACGGGAGAAAGCAGGGGACUGUAAAAGGCCUUGCGCGAUUAGAUGAGCCUACGUCGGAUUAGCUAGUUGGUAGGGUAAAGGCCUACCAAGGCGAUGAUCCGUAGCUGGUCUGAGAGGACGACCAGCCACACUGGGACUGAGACACGGCCCAGACUCCUACGGGAGGCAGCAGUGGGGAAUAUUGGACAAUGGGCGCAAGCCUGAUCCAGCAAUGCCGCGUGUGUGAAGAAGGCCUGCGGGUUGUAAAGCACUUUCAGUGGGGAGAAAGAA
rnacentral:rRNA from 1 species